rnacentral:misc_RNA from 1 species
GAUGAAGAACGCAGCGAAAUGCGAUAAGUAAUGUGAAUUGCAGAAUUCAGUGAAUCAUCGAAUCUUUGAACGCACAUUGCGCCCGCCAGUAUUCUGGCGGGCAUGCCUGUUCGAGCGUCAUUUCAACCAUCAAGCCCCCGGCUUGUGUUGGGGACCUGCGGCUGCCGCAGGCCCUGAAAACCAGUGGCGGGCUCGCUAGUCACUCCGAGCGUAGUAAUACAUCUCGCUCAGGGCGUGCUGCGGGUUCCGGCCGUUAAAAAGCCUUAUUUACCCAAGGUUCACCUCGGAUCAGGUAGGAAGACCCGCUGAACUUAAGCAUAUCAAUAAGCGGAGGA